GAUGAACGCUGGCGGCGUGCUUAACACAUGCAAGUCGAACGAGAAGUGAAGACGGAAACCUUCGGGCGGAAGGCUUUAUUUCGAGUGGCGGACGGGUGAGUAACGCGUGGGUAACCUGCCUCAUACAGGGGGAUAACAGUUGGAAACGACUGUUAAUACCGCAUAAGACCACAGCACCGCAUGGUGCGGGGGUAAAAACUCCGGUGGUAUGAGAUGGACCCGCGUUCGAUUAGCCAGUUGGCGGGGUAACGGCCCACCAAAGCGACGAUCGAUAGCCGAUCUGAGAGGAUGACCGGCCACAUUGGGACUGGGACACGGCCCAAACUCCUACGGGAGGCAGCAGUGGGGAAUAUUGCACAAUGGGGGAAACCCUGAUGCAGCGACGCCGCGUGAGUGAAGAAGUAUUUCGGUAUGUAAAGCUCUAUCAGCAGGGAAGAAAAUGACGGUACCUGAGUAAGAAGCCCCGGCUAACUACGUG
rnacentral:rRNA from 1 species